UACGAAGGAUGCAAGCGUUAUCCGGAUUUAUUGGGGUUAAAGGGAGCGUAGGCGGUCUUAUAAGUCAGUGGUGAAAUCUCGUUGCUUAACAACGGCCGUGCCAUUGAUACUGUAGGACUUGAGUACAGUUGCCGUUGGCGGAAUGUGUCAUGUAGCGGUGAAAUGCAUAGAUAUGACACAGAACACCGAUUGCGAAGGCAGCUGACGAAACUGUAACUGACGCUGAGGCUCGAAAGCGUGGGGAUCAAACAGG
rnacentral:rRNA from 1 species